rnacentral:lncRNA from 1 species
UAUAAUAGUACAAGUUCGACAUAAUCACAUAAAAAAAUUGCAUCACAGAUAGGAACUAAUACAAGAUAAUAGAUAAUUUGCAUCAUAAAAAUAAGAACCUGUCGACACACAUAUUACAACACUAACACAAUCAUGAUGAUUCUGGACAUGUGGAAGAUGGGAACUCUUCUAGACCAUAAACUCAUAAAUUACACAGCCAAAUUACCAAAACAAAAGAAAAUCUGGAGCAUCAAUUUGAGUAUUCAACACUGAAUCACUGAUACAGGAUUAGAAUAGGCGGAUGAGAAUUCGUUGGUUGAAGCGGGAAGAAUUUGACAAGUGCAGCAGCCAAAUACCUGAAUAUGUGAAGUGAAUCAGAUAGGCUGAUCGCGAAUUCGAGAGCAGCAGCCAGCAUGCCUAGAUCCUGGGAGCAGCCAAG